rnacentral:rRNA from 1 species
CGACCUGAGCUCAGGCAAGGCUACUCCCUGAACUUAAGCAUAUCAAUAAGCGGAGGA